UCCCCGUUGAACGAGGCAGUCUCCCGUGAAAUACAACACAGGAUGAGGGUUUCGCUCGUUUGCGGACUUAACCGUACAUCUCACGACACGAGCUGACGACGGCCGUGCAUCACCUGUCGUCUGGCUCCCCGAAGGGCACCCCCGCAUUUCUGCAGGGUUCCAGAGAUGUCAAGUCUUGGUAAGGUUCCUCGCUUGGUGUCGAAUUAAACCACAUGCUCCACCGCUUGUGCGAGCCCCCGUCAAUUCCUUUGAGUUUUAGCCUUGCGGCCGUACUUCCCAGGCGGCUGACUUCACGCGUUAGCUUCGGUACCCAAAGGGUAGAUACUCCGAAUACCUAGUCAGCAACGUUUACGGCGUGGACUAC
rnacentral:misc_RNA from 1 species